rnacentral:rRNA from 1 species
GUCGUGAGACAGUUCGGUCCCUAUCCGUCGUGGGCGUAGGAAAUUUGAGAGGAGCUGUCCUUAGUACGAGAGGACCGGGAUGGACAUACCUCUGGUGUACCAGUUGUCGUGCCAACGGCAUAGCUGGGUAGCUAUGUAUGGACGGGAUAAGUGCUGAAAGCAUCUAAGCAUGAAGCCCCCCUCGAGAUGAGAUUUCCCAACUUCGGUUAUAAGAUCCCUCAAAGAUGAUGAGGUGAAUAGGUUCGAGGUGGAAGCGUAGCGAUACGUGGAGCUGACGAAUACUAAUCGAUCGAAGACUUAAUCAAAA